UCUAUAUGGAUCACAAGAGCUUGAAAUAUUUGUUUUCUCAAAGAAAACUAAAUAUGAGGCAGAGAUGUUAGAUCGAUCUCUUAAAGGAUUAUGACUGCAAGAUACUUUACCACCUCGAUAAGGGAAACAAGGUCACUGAUACAUUAAGUCGGAAGGAAUCUAUUAUGUUGGCCCAGCUGAUGACUUCUAAUUGAAAAUUGGUUGAUGCAAGCAGUCACUUCAUCUGAAUAAUUAUGGAAAUGGUGCUUAUCUUGCCCAAAUUUGGGCCUCGCCUAACCUCUUCAUGCAGAUUUGGUAGACUCAGUCAACCGAUCCCAAGCUUUUGUAGAACCUUAGUAAGUUUACAUCUGAUGAGUUUCCUGAUUUAAGAAUCAUUGAUGAUGGUUUGUACUAGUUCCAUGAUCGUGUUUGGGUACUUGCAGUGAUCAGGAUAGAUAUUUUGAAGGUAGCCCAUGUAUCCAAACUAUCUAUCCAUCAUGUGAGCACCAAGAUGUACCGUGACUUGAGGUGCUAGUAUUAGUGGCGGGAUAUUUUUGAGUUCGUCUCUUGGUGCCUUACUUAUUAGAGAAUCAAGGUAGAACAUUAAUGACC
rnacentral:lncRNA from 1 species